CCCAGACUCCUACGGGAGGCAGCAGUGAGGAAUAUUGGUCAAUGGCCGGAAGGCUGAACCAGCCAAGUCGCGUGAGGGAAUAAGGCCCUAUGGGUCGUAAACCUCUUUUGUCAGGGAGCAAAGGCGUCCACGAGUGGACGAAAGGAGAGUACCUGAAGAAAAAGCAUCGGCUAACUCCGUGCCAGCAGCCGCGGUAAUACGGAGGAUGCGAGCGUUAUCCGGAUUUAUUGGGUUUAAAGGGUGCGUAGGCGGACGCUUAAGUCAGCGGUAAAAUGGCGGGGCCAAACCUCGGCGAGCCGUUGAAACUGGGUGCCUUGAGUGGGCGAGAAGUACGCGGAAUGCGUGGUGUAGCGGUGAAAUGCAUAGAUAUCGCGCAGAACUCCGAUUGCGAAGGCAGCAUGCCGGCUCCACACUGACGCUGAGGCACGAAAGCGUGGGUAUCGAACAGGAUUAGAUACCCGCGUA
rnacentral:rRNA from 1 species